rnacentral:rRNA from 1 species
ACUUACUUGGAUAACCGUGGUAAUUCUACGAGCUAAWACAUGCUAAAAACCUCGACUUCGGAAGGGGUGUAUUUAUUAGAUAAAAAACCAAUGUCCUUCGGGGCUCCCUGGUGAUUCAUAAUAACUAAACGAAUCGCAUGGCCUUGCGCCGGCGAUGGUUCAUUCAAAUUUCUGCCCUAUCAACUUUCGAUGGUAGGAUAGUGGCCUACCAUGGUGGCAACGGGUAACGGGGAAUUAGGGUUCUAUUCCGGAGAGGGAGCCUGAGAAACGGCUACCACAUCCAAGGAAGGCAGCAGGCGCGCAAAUUACCCAAUCCCGACACGGGGAGGUAGUGACAAUAAAUACUGAUGUGGAGCUCUUUAGGGUUUCACAAUUGGAAUGAGAAAAAUCUAAACCACUUAAACGAGGAACAAUUGGAGGGCAAGUCUGGUGCCAGCAGCCGCGGUAAUUCCAGCUCCAAUAGCGUAUAUUAAAGUUGUUGCAGUUAAAAAGCUCGUAGUUGAACCUUGGGCCUGGCCGGCCGGUCCGCCUCACCGCGUGCACUGGUUCGGCCGGGCCUUUCCUCCUGGGGAACCGCAUGCCCUUUACUGGGUGUGCCGGGGAAUCAGGACUUUUACUUUGAAAAAAUUAGAGUGUUCAAAGCAGGCAUUUGCUCGAAUACAUUAGCAUGGAAUAAUAGAAUAGGACGUUGUGGUUCUAUUUUGUUGGUUUCUAGGACCGCCGUAAUGAUA